AUUGAACGCUGGCGGCAGGCCUAACACAUGCAAGUCGAACGGUAACAGGAAACAGCUUGCUGUUUCGCUGACGAGUGGCGGACGGGUGAGUAAUGUCUGGGAAACUGCCUGAUGGAGGGGGAUAACUACUGGAAACGGUAGCUAAUACCGCAUAACGUCGCAAGACCAAAGAGGGGGACCUUCGGGCCUCUUGCCAUCGGAUGUGCCCAGAUGGGAUUAGCUGGUAGGUGGGGUAACGGCUCACCUAGGCGACGAUCCCUAGCUGGUCUGAGAGGAUGACCAGCCACACUGGAACUGGGACACGGUCCAGACUCCUACGGGAGGCAGCAGUGGGGAAUAUUGCACAAUGGGCGCAAGCCUGAUGCAGCCAUGCCGCGUGUAUGAAGAAGGCCUUCGGGUUGUAAAGUACUUUCAGCGGGGAGGAAGGGAGUAAAGUUAAUACCUUUGCUCAUUGACGUUACCCGCAGAAGAAGCACCGGCUAACUCCGUGCCAGCCGCCGCUGUAA
rnacentral:rRNA from 1 species